rnacentral:rRNA from 1 species
UACAGGGGGGGCAAGCGUUGUUCGGAAUUACAGGGCGUAAAGGGCCAGUAGGCGGCCAACUAAGUCCGACGUGAAAUCCCCAAGCUUAACUUGGGAACUGCGUCGGAUACUGGAUGGCUUGAAUUCGGGAGAGGGAUGCAGAAUUCCAGGUGUAGCGGUGAAAUGCGUAGAUAUCGUAAGGAAGACCAGUGGCGAAGGCGGGUCUCUGGACAGUUCCUGACGCUGAGGCACGAAGGUCAGGGGAGCAAACGGG